rnacentral:rRNA from 1 species
GACGAACGCUGGCGGCGUGCUUAACACAUGCAAGUCGAACGAAGUGGAGAACGGGUGAGUAACGCGUAAUCAACCUGCACUUCAGAGGGGGACAACAGUUGGAAACGACUGCUAAUAACGCAUAAUGAAAGAGGGGAUUGAGUCUGCUUAGCUAGGUGGGGGGGUAAAGGCCCACCAAGGCGAUGAUCAGUAGCCGGGCUGAGAGUAUGAACGGCCACAUUGGGACUGAUCAACGGCCCAGACUCCUACUGGAGGCAGCAGUGGGGAAUCUUCCGCAAUGGACGAAAGUCUGACGGAGCAACGCCGCGUGAGUGAUGACGGCCUUCGGGUUGUAAAGCUCUGUUAAUCGGGACGCGGUACCGGAAUAGAAAGCCACGGCUAACUACGUGCCAGCAGCCGCGGUAAUUC